rnacentral:snRNA from 1 species
GUGCUCGCUUGGGCAGCACGUAUACUAAAAUUGGAACGAUACAGAGAAGAUUAGCAUGGCCCCUGCACAAGGAUGACAUGCGAAUUCAUGAAGAGUUCCAUAUUUUU